AAAUGAAUAGACGGGGGCCCGCACAAGCAGCGGAGCAUGUGGUUUAAUUCGAAGCAACGCGAAGAACCUUACCAGGGCUUGACAUCCCUCUGGAUGGUAUAGAGAUAUGCCAGGCCGGUGUUGUUAAGAUACCGGACAGAGGAGACAGGUGGUGCAUGGUUGUCGUCAGCUCGUGUCGUGAGAUGUUGGGUUAAGUCCCGCAACGAGCGCAACCCCUAUCUCCAGUUGCCAGCACGGAAGGGUGGGGACUCUGGAGAGACUGCCGUGGAGAACACGGAGGAAGGUGGGGACGACGUCAAAUCAUCAUGCCCCUUAUGUCCUGGGCUACACACGUGCUACAAUGGCCAGCAACAGAGGGAAGCGAAGCGGCAACGCGGAGCGAAUCCCAAAAACCUGGUCUCAGUUCGGAUUGUGGGCUGCAACCCGCCCACAUGAAGUCGGAGUUGCUAGUAAUCGCGAAUCAGCAUGUCGCGGUGAAUGCGUUCCCGGGCCUUGUACACACCGCCCGU
rnacentral:rRNA from 1 species